AGCUUAGGCUAUUGGUGCACACGCAGAUGAUGCCAAUAAGCGUUUUAACCUCACAUCUGAAUAAGGCACGGUUACAUUUGGAGUAGCAAACGGAGUGCCAGAAUUUUGGUUAAAGGCAAAAUAUCCAAGUCCAUUAUUAAUCAGAUAACCUAAUUGUGUUUGUUGGUUAUUUACUUGUGAGAGAACUGGCCAGAUGCAGGCAUAGAACGUUCCACAAUCGGGGAGGUGGCCAGGAGAAGUUGGAGAAGAGAGAAAGUGGAGUAAAUGGACCCAGACAGUUCAAGGACGUGAAGUUUAUUUAAGUAGAAUGUCUGAGUAGGAAUAAAUGAAAGCAGAAGAAAGUUGGAAAAAUCUUGGAUGAUCUUGUUAAAGGCUUUGAAGCAAAGAGUGAGGAUUUAGACCUGCUUCUCUUUAGAGUGAAAGCUACUCGGAGAUCAAAGCCAUAGGUGAAUAGAAAGGUUGACAGCAGCACCGAGAUUGAUUGGAAAGAAGUUUUUGAUGGAGGCCGGGAGCGUCAAAAAGAAAGAGUGGAUGUCAGCUCAUUCUCCUGCAAAGCAAUGCCACAGGAGGAAUGAGACAACUGUCACAUCUACGAGGGGUGCCAAGCAACCCCAGCCUGGUCCAACAGGAGCUCCCUCCCCACUUCCACAGAAGAAAGCGACGCAGCCCGGCACACACAGAUGGAUUGUGUCAGUAAUAUUUACCAUUAGGCAAGCUGUGAUUUUCUAAACAAAAGCCUAUAUUACAUUAAUUUUUUUAAAGCAAAAGCACAGGAAUACUGCAAGAUCACAUGACAUUGUGACUGUUCAGAAUCAAAUUGGUAUACUCAGCCUUCUGCAAACUCAUUUUAAUGCAUUCUCCCCAAAAUCCACUCAAAACCUGUUUAUUUAAAUAAUGUGUUGUGUUUUUGGUUUUUUUUACAUUAUAGAACAUCUAAAAUCCAACACCUUGAAAGUAUAUACCUAAACCUUCAAAAUCAAAUCAAAACUAUUGAAGGCUUUAUUUUUCAGAGGGUUUUGGUAAACCAAGUGCUAAGAUCUGAUAUCUUUCAAAACUCAUGUUGAAGUUGACAUGUCAUUGUGACCUGGUAAGAGGUGGGACCUUCAAGAGGUGAUUAGGUCAUGGGGCAUUGCCCUCCUCAGUUAAGCUGUGGGACAGUUAUCACAGGAGUGAUUAGUUGUCACAGAAGAGGAUUAGCUACCACAGGAGUGGGUUAGUUAUCAGAGGAGUGUGCUCAUUAUCAUGGAGUGGGUUAGUUAUCAGAGGAGUGAGUUAAUUAUCACUGGGGUGGGUUAGUUAUCACAGGAGAGGAUUAACUAUCAGGGGAGAGGGUCAGUCAGAAAAGGAAGUACUGGGCCUGUGCUGGGCAUGGUCUCUCCACCUUGGACUUCUCAGCCUCCAGAACCAUGAGCCAAAUAAACUACUAUUGUUGGCCCUUA